GUCUCCUUGGUGUAGCUGGUUAUCACGUGGGUCUCAUAGUCUCUCCAUACUGUGACUGCUGUCUUCUGCAGCGGAUAUCCCAAGGCCGCCAGUUCGAGUCUGGCAGGGGACA